UCUAAUUCUCAUUUUCCGUUGAAAUGCAAAGUUUGAAUCGCUGCCACUGGGAUCUUCUCUCUGACGAUCUCCUCUGACUGAUCUCCUCCGGCGACGACCUCCUCUGACCGAUUUCUUCCGACGACGACCUCCUCCAACGACGACCUCAUUUGGCGACGUUUUUCUCAGCGGCAAUCUUCUCUGGUGACCUCUCCUCCAACGACAAUCUCCUCCUAUGACGGUCUCCUCCUGCGACGGUCUCCUCAAGCGACAUCUCCUACUGCAAUGAUCUCCUCCGAUGGCAUUCUCCUACGCUGGCAAUCUCAUCCAUCGAGCUAAUGUGCUGUGAGAUUUUCCUCCCACAAGCUCGCGAGAAUACAUGAUAGAUUUUGCGAAAUGGAAACUACAACUACUAAAACUGCAGGAGCUAGGGUUUCUGAGGAAGGGAUCGUUGAAACAUUUCAUAAUGAUGAUGAUGAAGUGCUCGAUGAUGCGGAGAAUGGAGUUGCGGAUGGCCACUUAAAAAUGUUGGGAGGAUAUCUGGAGUUCUUCAUGGAACCUCCUGUUGCUGAUCUGUACCAGUGUAAAGAGAGAACUUGAUGACUUAAUUCAAAGAAAAGUAAGUACAUAUUAAUUUCAUGCUGCUAAGAGCUUUUCUGUGAUAACUAACAAUCUCUUCUCCUCAUUGACCUUACUUUGUUUAAUUCCAGGUUUU